UACGGGGGGGGCAAGCGUUGUUCGGAAUUACUGGGCGUAAAGGGCUCGUAGGUGGCCAACUAAGUCAGACGUGAAAUCCCUCGGCUUAACCGGGGAACUGCAUCUGAUACUGGAUGACUUGAGUUUGGGAGAGGGAUGCGGAAUUCCAGGUGUAGCGGUGAAAUGCGUAGAUAUCUGGAGGAACACCGGUGGCGAAGGCGGCAUCCUGGACCAACACUGACACUGAGGAGCGAAAGCCAGGGGAGCAAACGGG
rnacentral:rRNA from 1 species